GAUGAACGCUGGCGGCGUGCCUAACACAUGCAAGUCGAGCGAACAGACGAAGAGUUCGCCCCUCUGACGUUACCGGCGGACGGGUGAGUAACACGUGGAUAACCUACCUAUAAGACUGACAUCCCUUCGGGAAACCGGAGCUCACACCGGAUAUGAUAUUGAACCGCAUGGGUCAUCAGUCAAAGACGGUUCUGCUGUCCCUUAGUGAGGGAUCCGCGUCGCAUUAGCUAGUUGGUAGGGUAACGGCCUACCAAGGCAACGAUGCGUAGCCGACCUGAGAGGCUGAUCGGCCACACUGGAACUGAGACACGGUCCAGACUCCUACGGGAGGCAGCAGUGGGGAAUCUUCCACGAUGGGCGAAAGCCUGACCGAGCAACGCCGCGUGAGUGAUGAAGGUCUUCGGAUCGUAAAACACUGUAAGUAGGGAAGAACGAAUGUAUGAGUAACUAUGCAUGUCUUGACGGUACCAAAUGAGUAAGCCACGGCUAACUACGUG
rnacentral:rRNA from 1 species